CUAUCCGCAGAAAAUAGACCACGUGGCCCUAUUCUUUCCCUAUUGGAUUAAAAUUCCGAGUUCUUUUGUUGGUUCCACAAAAAGUGAAACUGCGAAAUCAAGAUCGAGUAGGUGUUUGGCGGCAGGCUUUUAAAGUUUUUAUUUUAUUUUAUCCUUUCGCAGACAAAUUAUAAGGAAAGCAACUGCCUGGCAGACCCUGCUCCCACCCAGGCAGCGCCCCCGCCCCUCGGGGCCUCAGGGAACAUCCUAGGAGAAAUUCUCCGGAUUUGGGACCAGACCCCAUCUAGAACCAAGACCCAGUCUCGGUCCUCCGUGAGGCGGGAAGACACUAAAACGGAAGCAUCUCGCCAAGCGCUUUGAUGGUGGGAAUCCAGCAAACACCAGAAAUAAAAGUUCGCCACGUCUUCAGGGGGUGCUGACGCCCGGCUGAGCUGCAAAUGGUGUCUCGGCCCCUGAAGACUUGUGAAGAGAAUGCUGAGCAGAGGGAACAGCAGAAGAGAAAGGACGUUCGCUAGGGAAUCCGAGCAUUUUCCUUGAAGCUCCCAUCGAAAGGUUUUGAUCAGGCUGGAUUUUCUAUUUUUAGCAAGUCCUAUUACCCUGGCCUGCAGUGUCCUGAACGAACCAAUGUGGACAAAAACCUGCUGCCUGCCAUUUCAGUGAACUAUCCUUGCUGCCUACAAUUCCAGUAAACAAGGAAGGUUGCCCACCAUCAAGCCAUCAGCCGCCACAGCUUCCCUGUUGGUGUGCCCUUAGGGGAAUUCAGGAUGGAGAAAAACAGGAUACUGGCCUUAGAUAGUUAAGAUGCAUGCCAAAGGAAUAAUUUCAAUGAGUCCAGAGCCUUGCAUCUUCCCAUACCUAGAAAGGCACUAAAAUAAUUAACUUGAGAUAUCUAUCUUUUGUGAUUAGCAGUCAUCUUUUGAUGUGUCACUACAUUUGUUUUGUUUUGUUUUUUCCUUAGCAAAAACUCCUAAUAUAUCCUGGCUCCUCUUUAUCUCUUUGAAACAGUGCCUCAGAGCUAUCUGAGAGGCUGAUUUCUAGGCUAUCAACCUUGGAAAGUCCCUGAAUAAAACACAACUCUCAAUUUUUA